AUUGAACGCUGGCGGCAUGCCUUACACAUGCAAGUCGAACGGUAACAGGUCUUCGGAUGCUGACGAGUGGCGCACGGGUGAGUAAUACAUCGGAACGUGCCCGAUCGUGGGGGAUAACGAGGCGAAAGCUUUGCUAAUACCGCAUACGAUCUACGGAUGAAAGCGGGGGAUCUUCGGACCUCGCGCGGACGGAGCGGCCGAUGGCAGAUUAGGUAGUUGGUGGGAUAAAAGCUUACCAAGUCGACGAUCUGUAGCUGGUCUGAGAGGAUGAUCAGCCACACUGGGACUGAGACACGGCCCAGACUCCUACGGGAGGCAGCAGUGGGGAAUUUUGGACAAUGGGCGAAAGCCUGAUCCAGCCAUGCCGCGUGCAGGAUGAAGGCCUUCGGGUUGUAAACUGCUUUUGUACGGAACGAAAAGCCUCUUUCUAAUAAAGAGGGGUCAUGACGGUACCGUAAGAAUAAGCACCGGCUAACUACGUG
rnacentral:rRNA from 1 species